rnacentral:rRNA from 1 species
AGCUCCAGUAGCGUAUACUAAUGUUGUUGCAGUUAAAAAGCUCGUAGUUGGAUUUCUGGCGAAGUUGGCCUAUAGUCCCUAGUUCGGCUCCGGCCGACUUGCGUGACUUUUGCUAACUUUCCAUCCUUUUAGAACCGAUCUGUCCUUCAUUGGAACGGAGAAAGUUCUAAAUCAUUUACUUUGAAAAAAUUAGAGUGUUUAAAGCAGGCUUCAGCGAUGUAUAUAUUAGCAUGGAAUAAUAACUUAGGACUUCGGUUCUAUUUUGUUGGUUUCUAGAACUGAAGUAAUGAUUGAUAGGGAUAGUUGGGGGUGCUAGUAUUCAGCGGCCAGAGGUGAAAUUCUUGGAUUCGCUGAAGACUAACUUAUGCGAAAGCAUUCACCAAGGAUGUCUUCUUUAAUC